CAGCCGCCACGGUAAUACGUAGGGUGCGAGCGUUAAUCGGAAUUACUGGGCGUAAAGCGUGCGCAGGCGGUUGUGUAAGACAGGUGUGAAAUCCCCGGGCUUAACCUGGGAACUGCGCUUGUGACUGCACAGCUAGAGUAUGGCAGAGGGGGGUGGAAUUCCACGUGUAGCAGUGAAAUGCGUAGAGAUGUGGAGGAACACCGAUGGCGAAGGCAGCCCCCUGGGCCAAUACUGACGCUCAUGCACGAAAGCGUGGGGAGCAAACAGGAUUAGAUACCCGCGUAGUCCCUGUCUCUUAUCA
rnacentral:rRNA from 1 species